AGCUCCAAUAGCGUAUAUUAAAGUUGUUGCAGUUAAAAAGCUCGUAGUUGGAUUUCUGGUGUGAGGGAACGGUCCGACCUCUGGUGGGUACUUGCUUCCUCUCACGCCAUCCUUGAGUGGUGCGUUCUGGCAUUCAGUUGUCGGGACGUUAGCCGCUCAUCGUUUACUGUGAGAAAAUUAGAGUGUUCAAAGCAGAAUAUAUUAGCAUGGAAUAAUAAGAUAGGACUUCGGUACUAUUUUGUUGGUUUGCGCACCGAUGUAAUGAUCAAUAGGGACAGUUGGGGGUAUUCGUAUUCAGUUGUCAGAGGUGAAAUUCUUAGAUUUACGGAAGACGAACUACUGCGAAAGCAUUUACCAAGGAUGUUUUCA
rnacentral:rRNA from 1 species